rnacentral:snRNA from 1 species
GGAUGUAAGGGCUAGCUGGCUGCGACAUGUCACCCCAUUGAUCACCAGGGUUGAUUUGGCUGAUCUGGCUGGCUAGGUGGUGUCCCGUAUCUCCCACGAUGAUCCAUGUGCAUACCUCCCGAAGCUGCCUGCUUGGUGAAAGAGGAUGACCAUGACCACCCCCGAUAGAGAAGGACCAUUCCUUGGUCAAGGGCAUACGAGUUGCUGCGCUCCCCUGCUUGAACCUCCAAACAAGAUCUCAAGAUUAAAGCACCUGCAAGCAGGCACAGGGGCCUGCCAUACUAGCCCCAUCCCCAGGGUGUGCUGAGAUGGCAAUUGAGACUGGGCAUGCUAGUACACACCUGUAA